UUUCCGUAGGUGAACCUGCGGAAGGAUCAUUAUUGAAUGAAACACUUCUGGCUUUAUGCUGUUGUGCUGGCCCUUUGGGCAAUGUGCACACGGCUCUGGUCACUUGUUUCUUCUGUUCCACCUGUGCACUGCCUGUAGACACGCUGUGUCUAUGAUAUUUGUUAACACACAACAAUGUUAGUUGGCAUGUUAUAUAUAAUAAUAAAAUAUACAACUUUCAACAACGGAUCUCUUGGCUCUCGCAUCGAUGAGAACGCAGC
rnacentral:misc_RNA from 1 species